rnacentral:rRNA from 1 species
UACGUAGGGUGCGAGCGUUAAUCGGAAUUACUGGGCGUAAAGCGUGCGCAGGCGGUUUUGUAAGCCAGGUGUGAAAUCCCCGGGCUCAACCUGGGAAUGGCAUUUGGGACUGCAAGGCUGGAGUGCGGGCAGAGGAGACUGGAAUUCCUGGUGUAGCAGUGAAAUGCGUAGAUAUCAGGAGGAACACCGAUGGCGAAGGCAGGUCUCUG